UACGUAGGGGGCAAGCGUUGUCCGGAAUUAUUGGGCGUAAAGCGCGCGCAGGCGGCUAUUUAAGUCUGGUGUUUAAACCUUGGGCUCAACCCGAGGUCGCACUGGAAACUGGGUGGCUUGAGUACAGAAGAGGAAAGUGGAAUUCCACGUGUAGCGGUGAAAUGCGUAGAUAUGUGGAGGAACACCAGUGGCGAAGGCGACCUUCUGGGCUGUAACUGACGCUGAGGCGCGAAAGCGUGGGGAGCAAACAGG
rnacentral:rRNA from 1 species